ACAGGAUUAGAUACCCUGGUAGUCCACGCCGUAAACGAUGAGUGCUAAGUGUUAGAGGGUUUCCGCCCUUUAGUGCUGCAGCAAACGCAUUAAGCACUCCGCCUGGGGAGUACGGUCGCAAGACUGAAACUCAAAGGAAUUGACGGGGGCCCGCACAAGCGGUGGAGCAUGUGGUUUAAUUCGAAGCAACGCGAAGAACCUUACCAGGUCUUGACAUCCUUCGCUACUUCUAGAGAUAGAAGGUUCCCCUUCGGGGGACGAAGUGACAGGUGGUGCAUGGUUGUCGUCAGCUCGUGUCGUGAGAUGUUGGGUUAAGUCCCGCAACGAGCGCAACCCUUGAUCUUAGUUGCCAGCAUUCAGUUGGGCACUCUAAGGUGACUGCCGGUGACAAACCGGAGGAAGGUGGGGAUGACGUCAAAUCAUCAUGCCCCUUAUGACCUGGGCUACACACGUGCUACAAUGGAUGGUACAAAGGGCUGCAAGACCGCGAGGUCAAGCCAAUCCCAUAAAACCAUUCUCAGUUCGGAUUGCAGGCUGCAACUCGCCUGCAUGAAGCCGGAAUCGCUAGUAAUCGCGGAUCAGCAUGCCGCGGUGAAUACGUU
rnacentral:rRNA from 1 species